GGGACACCCUGUAUACUGGAUCAUAUAAGGGAGGACGCAGUUAGCGGCACGCAUAGAACGCGGAAAAUAUGCCUGAUGGCAUCGGUAGACGUAAAAAACGCCUUCAACUCAGUCUCGCACCGUUACAUCACUAAGGCAUUGAAAGAAAUUAGAAAGCCUCAGGGUGUUGGGUGUGAAGCACCUAUAACGACGUGGUACAAACCGAAAACUAGUUAUCUUGACAGUAAACAAAUCAAGUGAUCAUCUUAUUUACAUUUGUAUUAGAUGGAAGUUGGUCUUUUUCAAGGCGGAUUCCCACUACUCGAGGCUUGGCGAUCCUAUGGCUCGGCUCGUGGCUUGGCGAGUUAAAAGACGAGCCGAGCCAUUCGUUCCCACUACACGUGUCAAUACACGAUCUUAGGUGGCGGAUACUUGUUUUUUUAACGAACUUGCAGUGGCGUAGUUAGUCUGUUCGAAUAUGCCAAGUCGACGACAGCGCAUUGCCGCGUUGGCGGCGGCUUAUUAUUACAUUGCCGCUUUAAACGUCUUGAAAGAGAAGCGAAAAAAAAAGAAACAAAGACGUUGGUGGGUAACGUCUUCAUAUAAAAGUCGAACUAGGUAAGUUAAGUUUGAUAUCAUUUCCACGCGUCGUGUACUAAAUUUCUAUUUUUGUGCUGCGGAUGUCGUGGGUUCCAUAUCACUGGUUCCCCUUCGUACAACUCCAAAAACUGUAAAGCAAGGUCAUUUGACCACUCCAUUUUUCACAAACUUCGGGCAAAACAAACAAAUUAUCUGAAAUAAUAAUGUUCCAACGAGGAAACUACCGAGACACUGUCGCACGCUACUGAAUUAAAAUCAUUCUGCAGUCUACAAGGUUACAUGCUCGUUCUAGGAAUUCUCCUUUGACUCGUGCAACAUUUACCGACAUCGAACGGGAACGGCAAGCCGCGCCAAGUUUCAACGAGCAUUCCCAUUCCCACUGCUUGUGGCUUGCCGAGUCACGCGCCAGACUCGCCAAGCCACGGGUAGUGGGAAUCCGCCUUCAGGCUAGCGCACUCAUUAACGUAAACCUUGAUUUACCGUAUUUACAUGCAAUUGACUAUUAGAUAUAUGUCUUAUCUUUUUAUUACAGGAGACAGAUUUUGUGGGCCCAAGCGUUCUUGGUCAGCAGAGGAGAAAGACGCAGUUUUGCUCGACUUUGCGAAUUGCAUAGAGAUAAAAAAGUUACCAUCUUACCACGAUGUGCAGGCAGCCGCCAGUAAGCAUUCAGUCUUAUGUAAUAGGUCUCCUACUUCUAUCCGACUUUGGAUUGAGAACCAAAUUAUGAAGAAGCGAAAGUCAUGUGAAUUAUCUGGUAAUGGUGGUGGCCAUAAAGAUAAAGUGAUAAAACGUAUCAGGUGGUCAAUCGAGGAGCAGAACACUUUAAAUUCUGAGUUCGCACGUCACAUAAGGGGUAAUACAUUACCAUCCCAGAGCGAGAUACAAGCAGUGAUAGACAAUAAUCCACAUAUGCAACAAAGAUCAGUGAAAUGCAUAAAAACAACAGUUUUGAACGCAAGAAUUAAAUACAGAGCUUCUUAAAUGUUAGUCCUUGUAGCAUUGGUUGGCUAGGAUACAACAAAUACUGGUAGAUUGUUAUUAUUGAUCUCAUUUAAUGCUUUCGAAUAGAGAAUCAAAAUGGAAUUCAAUUUCUAAUAGUGCGGGAGCUAGCACGUGUUUUACCCUCCUCAUAACCGGAGCUUUCAAAAUGUGUUGCAAAACACAGGUUUAUACUCCUACGUCACAAAAAUCAUUCGCUGCCACCUCAGAGCGGUGGCAAAGUAGGUGAAAUUAGACAACAAAUUGUUGCAAAAAAUGACACAAUCAAACGAUUUCCGGGAGCAUUUGAAAACUUGUAGGGUGGUAGUGUAAUUAUCGAUUAAGCUAUAAAUCAGUUGCUGCCACCUGUAAUCGGUGGCUAAUUAUUGCUGCCAGUCAAUUGUUGACAAUUUUUAGGACCAACCCUCCUCAUAACCGGAGCUUUUGAAAAUUUGCAUAAAGGUAGGGAAUGUACUUACUUACCUAAAAAACAUUUGCUGCCACCUUCAAUCGGUGGCGAAGUCUUGCAAAUUAAUGAAUUUUCGAAUUUGUGUUUUUGAAUAACCAUUUGACAUUGAAAAUCUCCAAAAAGAAAACUUGCCACGAAACCGAGUGCCAUCAGCGUAUCAGGGUCACCCGAGACUUCGCUCGGCGCCGGCGACUUUAUCGCCUUGGCAGCAAAACUUUGCCACCGAUUGAAGGUGGCAGCAAAUGUUUUUUAAAUAAGUAAGUACAUUCUCUACCUUUAUGCAAAUUUUCAAAAACUCCGGUUAUGAGGUGGAUUGGCCCUAAAAAUUGUCAACAACAAUUGACUGGCGGCAAUAACUAGCCACCGCUUACAGGUGGCAGCAACUGAUUUUUAGCUUAAUCGAUAAUUCCACUACCACCCUACAAAUCGUUUGUUUUUGUCAUUUUUUUCAACAAUUAGUUGUCAAAUUUCAUCUACUUUGCCACCGUUUUGAGGUGGCAGCAAAUGAUUUUUGUGAUGUAGGAGUAUAAACCUGUAUUUUGGAACCCAUUUUGAAAGCUCCGGUUAUGAGGAGGGUAAAACACUUGCUAGCUCCCGGACUAUAACCUUGUUGUUAUGCAGGAAUAUAAAAGUUACUUUGUUUAUGUAAUGCGAAGUUGGAAAUAACUGUUAAUUAUCAAAUUAAUGAAGUACAUAUUUUCUCAUGUUCCAUUUUGGUUUUUUACUCUUUAUUUUUUGGUUUUAGCGGAAUUGCAGUUUUUUUUUGCUUCUUUCUCGCGUAUGUUAAUUGCUAGUAAUUCCUUGCUGCUGUAAUUUCAGUUUAGUUGACGGAUAAGGAGUUAAUGUUUGAUAAAUUAUAAAAUUACAUAAUAAAAAAUCUUGAUAUCUUCAAUUAACUGAAAUUACAAUCGGCAGUGAACAGCUGGGAGACUCUUUUA